AGCCCCCGCGGCCGCGGCAGUCGAUCAUCGCAUGCUGCCCUGGCCAACCCGGGGGCG
rfam:Pseudomonas sp. EGD-AK9 Contig_259, whole genome shotgun sequence.